rnacentral:rRNA from 1 species
GCAUUGACUGUUUUGCAAAGACAAUGCUUGGUGAAAUAGAAUAAUAAGUAAUUUUUGCCCACUACCGGUUGGUGCGAAGGGCUGCAGUAUUUUGACUGUAUUAAGGUAGCAUAAUCAUUAGCUUUUUAAUUGGAAGCUGGUAUGAAGAGAGAACAGGGAGAUUGUUUAUUUUUUUGGUCUAUUGAAUUUUAUUCCCAUGUGAAAAAUCAUGGAAGUGUCUGAGGGACAAGAAGACCCUAUUAAGUUUUAUUUCUAACUAACAAAAAGUAUAAAGGAAAAAAUCAGGUGAUUAGUAUGAUUUAUUAUUAGGGGUUUGGCUGGGGCAGAAGAUAUAAUAACUAUAUUUGAUGUAUAAUUUUUAUAAAGCGUUUAGAUGACCUGAUUUGGUCAGAUGAAAGAAGAAUUACUUUAGGGAUAACAGCGUUAUUAUUUCUGAGAGUUCUUAUUGAUGAGAUAGUUUGCGACCUCGAUGUUGGAUUAGGAUAAAACAUUGGCGC